UACAGAGGGUGCUAGCGUUGUUCGGAAUCAUUGGGCGUAAAGGGCGUGUAGGCGGUCUGUUAAGUCAUGUGUGAAAUCCCUCGGCUCAACCGGGGAACGACGCAUGAAACUGACAAGCUAGAGUACCAAAGAGGGUGGUGGAAUUCCCGGUGUAGCGGUGAAAUGCGUAGAGAUCGGCAGGAACACCCAGGGGGAAACCAGCCGGCUGGGGACGGGCUGACGCUCAGGGGCGAAAGCGUGGGGAGCG
rnacentral:rRNA from 1 species